rnacentral:rRNA from 1 species
UUCCAGACUCCUACGGGAGGCAGCAGUGGGGAAUAUUGCACAAUGGGGGAAACCCUGAUGCAGCGACGCCGCGUGAGUGAGGAGGUAUUUCGGUAUGUAAAGCUCUAUCAGCAGGGAAGAAAAUGACGGUACCUGACUAAGAAGCCCCGGCUAACUACGUGCCAGCAGCCGCGGUAAUACGUAGGGGGCAAGCGUUAUCCGGAUUUACUGGGUGUAAAGGGAGCGUAGACGGCAGUGCAAGUCUGAAGUGAAAGGCGGGGGCCCAACCCCCGGACUGCUUUGGAAACUGUGCUGCUGGAGUGCAGGAGAGGCAAGUGGAAUUCCUAGUGUAGCGGUGAAAUGCGUAGAUAUUAGGAGGAACACCAGUGGCGAAGGCGGCUUGCUGGACAGUAACUGACGCUGAGGCGCGAAAGCGUGGGGAGCAAACAGGAUUAGAUACCCUUGUA